UCAGAUUGAACGCUGGCGGCAGGCCUAACACAUGCAAGUCGAGCGGUAGAGAGAAGCUUGCUUCUCUUGAGAGCGGCGGACGGGUGAGUAAUGCCUAGGAAUCUGCCUAGUGGUGGGGGAUAACGUUCGGAAACGGACGCUAAUACCGCAUACGUCCUACGGGAGAAAGCGGGGGACCUUCGGGCCUCGCGCCAUUAGAUGAGCCUAGGUCGGAUUAGCUAGUUGGUGAGGUAAUGGCUCACCAAGGCGACGAUCCGUAACUGGUCUGAGAGGAUGAUCAGUCACACUGGAACUGAGACACGGUCCAGACUCCUACGGGAGGCAGCAGUGGGGAAUAUUGGACAAUGGGCGAAAGCCUGAUCCAGCCAUGCCGCGUGUGUGAAGAAGGUCUUCGGAUUGUAAAGCACUUUAAGUUGGGAGGAAGGGUAGUAACUUAAUACGUUGCUACUUUGACGUUACCGACAGAAUAAGCACCGGCUAACUUCGUGCCAGCAGCCGCGGUAAUACGAAGGGUGCAAGCGUUAAUCGGAAUUACUGGGCGUAAAGCGCGCGUAGGUGGUUCAGUAAGUUGGAAGUGAAAUCCCCGGGCUCAACCUGGGAACUGCUUUCAAAACUGCUGAGCUAGAGUACGGUAGAGGGUGGUGGAAUUUCCUGUGUAGCGGUGAAAUGCGUAGAUAUAGGAAGGAACACCAGUGGCGAAGGCGACCACCUGGACUGAUACUGACACUGAGGUGCGAAAGCGUGGGGAGCAAACAGGAUUAGAUACCCUGGUAGUCCACGCCGUAAACGAUGUCAACUAGCCGUUGGGAGUCUUGAACUCUUAGUGGCGCAGCUAACGCAUUAAGUUGACCG
rnacentral:rRNA from 1 species